AAUGGAAAUUUUUACCUAAAUAACAGAAAAGGGGUGUAUUUUUUUAUACUUAAGAAACUAAUGGAAAAAUUUCUCUGCAAGAGAGCAUUCAGGAGGAGAAACAAAACUUUUUUUGAUUUUAGUUAAGGAGAUUUUUGUACUAAGAAACAUUUUAGAAUAAAACCGAUAUUGGCAAACAUUCAAAAAAAAAAAACAGAGGAGUAUUUCAUCCAAGAAAACAUUUCACCGGUUCACGAACUUCUUUUUCUUCUAUAAAUUCUUGUUGGCAUGUCUUAAAACAUUAAGAUAAUGCAUUAAUUUAUUAACAGAUUUUAACAUAUAACCAAAGUGACAGAAGAAAUCCGCAAAAGCGGAAAUGGCGAGUUCGUAACUAUUAUUCAAAAUUAGCAGGUCAGAUACCCCGGAACAUUAAUUUAAAAAAAAUGUGUGUAUAAUAAAUAUAUACAGACAAGAAAACGAAUUAAAAUUGAGCAACAUCAUCAAAUAGGAGAAGGGCGUCUAAAAUCGUCACUAACGUUAGGUACGUAUAUCAGUUCUACCAAUACCAGACGAGCUUACAGACUGACAGCAUUACCAUGACCUCCUUUACUUUCCCCUGACCCGUUUUCCGUAGGUUCAGCGAUCUUCUGCCAUCAGCUGAGUAGAAAUUGGGUCAAAUUUGCUGCACUUCCCUUAGCGGCGACACGCGUUCACUCUCACUUUCCAAAAAGUCAUGAGACUGACAAACUCACCACAGGAUAUGUGGGCAAUGCCUGCUACUAUCAGAACUUCGUCAGAUACGAGAGAACCUUCUCACUCUCCAAACAAACAGCUUCGUUAUCACUUGGAUAGCCCUGUUAUGCAGGCUCCACCAUCGCCGGCAAUGUUUCCGAAUCAGAGCCCUUCCGAUUUAUCACCGGUCGUCACCACCACAGGAUGGACGUCGCCUACCACCGUGGCUCAUCUGGGUGUGGACCUAACGAGCCUGAAGAGCAAAGAGCUGUUUCCUCAACGUAAACAGCGCGAAUUCAUCCCCGACAACAAGAAGGACGACAGCUAUUGGGAUAGAAGGCGAAGAAAUAACGAAGCUGCCAAGAGAUCUCGUGAAAAGAGGAGGUUGAACGACAUGGUGUUGCAAUCCCGUCUCAUAGAACUGGCCAAAGAGAACGCCAUGUUGAAAGCCGAACUGGUGGCUCUCAAAGAGAAGUACGGAAUGAGUGGACAGUGUCUAGUGGAUUCGGACCAGAUUGCCAUACCGAUUACCGAUUCGGCGGUACGAAAGAGUAAAAUCGUUUCCACGAGAGCCGCUCUGUCCGCUUAUUACAGAGGUUCGCAGCAGAGUUUCUCGUCUGGACAGAGCAGCGGAGAUCAAGAAUCGUGGUCGUCUCCCGACGACAGCCCACAGACUGUGGCAGUCAUCGCCACCAGUUGUCUGCCACACAAGUUACGUCACAAAUCACAUCUUAGCGAGAAAUCGGAUAGCGGAUACAGUAACAACAGCGCGCGCGAAGACAUAUCUGCCACGUCGGACGGAGAUAGCAGCGUGUUGAGUAACGAUACCCCAUCGCCCGGUAGCAGUGGCAGCAGCGGAGAUUCGGAUCGUUCGCCACAUUGCGAAAGAAGAAAACCUUCCAGACCAGAUUUACGUAACGAAAACUUCCAUUUAAGAUCCCAGUUACAACAAUUAGCUUCCGAAGUUGCAAGCUUGAAAACAAUGCUGAUGCAUCAGAGCAGCAACGGUGGCAGCAACGCCACGACCAACACCACCACCACCAAAACAACAACAGCAGCAGCCAAUAAUAAUAAUACUCACGAACAGAACCAAUCGAAAACUUAAAAAAAAGUGAAUGUUUUUAGUGUUUUACAUGAAAAAAUACAUACGGGAUAUGUGCAAAAUUUACCGUUUUUUAAAUCAUUAUUAUUAUUAUUAUUCACCGGUUAAACGUGUUACGUUAUCAAAAACGUCAGCAUGCACCGGUUAUCGUAAACUGUGUCCUACUUUUAACGACAUUCACCCACUUUCUGCAGCUGUGUUGACCUAAUUCUAGCAAAAGUGCGGCACAUUCGCCUCUAAGCUGCAUCAUCGCUGACGUCAACAGUUGAGCCACUGUUCUAAGAAGGCUUUUAUUCAUGGAUUGGACCCAAUUUGGAAUGACUAAACCCAUGAUAAGUGCAAUGGGUAAGAAUAGAUGAGGACCAAUAUUGGGAUGAACUAGCCACUGUAGUUACUCAAUGGCACAUUUAACAGUGGAUAAAAGCAUGAAUGUCAAAGUUUGUAGACAAAAAUAACAGAACUUAUUAAGAAAUAACUUGUUAUUUCUGUAAUAAAUUAUUUUUAAUUAAAAGAACAAGAAAUAAAGAGAAUUUUUACUGACUAUUUUCUUCAUAAAAGUACAUUAUAAACAUUAAUUAGAAUUACAUAGAUAAUGAUGAUGAAUACAAAUUGAGGUUUAUGCUGUGUAAUGUUUGACUUAAAAUUAUAUAAAUCAAUGGAAUUCAAUAAUAAACAAAUUAUUUUUACAAAAAAAAAAUAUAUUAAUUGGAAUAUAAAAUAGUCCAAAAAAUUUAGAUAUUCUCUCUCUGAUAUUU